GAAGGUGAUGCCUGCCCGGUGACCUGACGUUUAACGGCCGCGGUAUCCUAACCGUGCAAAGGUAGCGCAAUCAAUUGUCCCAUAAAUCGAGACUAGUAUGAAUGGCUAAACGAGGUCUUAACUGUCUCUUGCAGGCAAUCGGUGAAAUUGAUCUCCCUGUGCAAAAGCAGGGAUAAACCCAUAAGACGAGAAGACCCUGUGGAACUUUAAAAACAGCAGCCACCCCAAAUAACAUAACCCCCCAUCGGGCUCACUCAUACACAAGCCACUGGCCUGCAUUUUUUCGGUUGGGGCGACCUUGGAGAAAAACAAAUCCUCCAAAAAUUGGACCAUAACUCUAGACCAAGAGCAACACCUCAACGUGCUAAUAGCACCCAGACCCAAUAUAAUUGAUCAAUGGACCAAGCUACCCCAGGGAUAACAGCGCAAUCUCCUUUAAGAGUCCAUAUCGACAAGGAGGUUUACGACCUCGAUGUUGGAUCAGGACAUCCUAGUGGUGCAGAAGCUACUAAGGGUUCGUUUGUUCAACGAUUAACAGUCCU
rnacentral:rRNA from 1 species